rnacentral:rRNA from 1 species
UACGAAGGACCCGAGCGUUUAUCCGGAUUUACUGGGUUUAAAGGGUGCGUAGGUGGACCUGUAAGUCAGUGGUGAAAGCCCGAAGCUCAACUUCGGAACUGCCAUUGAUACUGCUUGUCUUGAGUAUAGUUGAGGUAGGCGGAAUAUGUCAUGUAGUGGUGAAAUACUUAGAUAUGACAUAGAACACCAUUGCGAAGGCAGCUUG